AGUAUAUAUAUUCAGUUGGUUGGGGGGGUCCCCUAUUGAUGAGUCAAAUGACUUUUUUAAAGAACCUCAGUCUGGGAAUUAGCGCUCUAAGGCGUCUUUUCAGAAUGAAACUUCUAUUAAUGCCCAGGACCUGAUCUGCUGAUAUGACUAAACACUGUCACCGGUCUUUUAUUGCCUCUCUGGGAGGACUGAGGCUUCCUGUGUUUAAAACCGCACAAACUGCAGUGGUGAUGAUGGAGAUUUAAAGUGCUCUUUGGAGAGUAACAUCAUCUGUGACAGCAUGGGCAAGGUCACCUUGGAUACUGCUAGACUUUAUGAGAGGUAUAAACACUGUGAUUGGAGUUCUAGAGAUAAGGUUGACACUAAUCAAGCCAUUCUAAACCCUGAGCCAAGUGUUAAUGUCAAAUGUGAAUCUGAUGAAAUCCGUGUGAAAGUGCACUGUGACAUUCCAAAGCACAUCGAGCUUCUGGCUUGCUUUAAAAUCAAUAAAAACAAUGCUAAAUCCAUAGGAUGUGGUCCUAAAGAAUUGAUCAUACCUGUGUGUCUGUGGUGCUGGGUAUACUUAUUAUAAGACGCUAAAGGGAUCAAAUUAUUGAGGAGAUUCCUGAAACUACUGAAGCUGGAUCAAGAACUAAUUGUAGACCAAGCCACUGACAUUUUGGUAAAAGCAAAUUGUAAAAAAUAAAAUAAAAUCAGAACUCAGUUGUGCUUAAUAGCAAAUUAAGAGCAUUUCCACAUGCACAAUGUGAGAAGAACUCAAAGAAUUCUGACAAAACAGCUAUGUACUGUAGCUAUUUGUAAAAGAAAACCAAUAGGCUGCAUAAAGAUUGGAUUCUUGAAUUGUGGAAAAGGUUAUGUGGUCUGACGAGUCCAGAGUUACCCUGUUCCAGAGUGAUUUAUAAGCAUUUAUAAAUCAUUUAUAAAUCUUACUCUGGGCCUUAAUUAUGCAAACAAAGUAAACAAUGCUGCUGACAUGCUGUACUAGUGAGGACACAUAAUUUAUCAUUUAUUUAUUAGUGUUCUGGGCUUUUGAGAUGUGUCAGGCAUUUAUACUGCACAAAACAAAUACUUAGGUAAUGAGUGACACUUGUGGGUGGAUAUGGUCAAUUAGUUAGCCUUUUUAAAUUACAUUAAUUUGCUAAAAAUGCAGUUUAUUUCUUUUUUGCAAAUUAUUUUUUUCACUAUGUAGAAAAUUAAAUAGACCAAUAAAAAACACAUUUGAUAUAAAAGACAAGUAACUGUGUUUUUUGUGCCGUAUUUGUGCCAGAGACAAGAGAGCAAACAGCAUCUGCAUGAUUACUGAUUAGAGGUAGUUUAUGGUUUCUCUGAGCAUUCAGUCAUUUCAGCUUUGAGAACUUUUUAAGGUGCCACAAUUUAGAGGUAAAUAUUGUGUGUAUUAUUUUUUCUGCUGUUACAACUCAGUCUAAGGUUAGGUUGCUCAGAGUAACUAGCUUGGGAUUCAGGAAUAUGAGAUAUUUAUAAUGCAAGUGUAAAAAUGUAAUUUUUUUUAUAGUUUUAUUUUAUUCCUCUGUAUUGUGAACUGUACAUGCAUAUAUAUACACAUUCUAUAUCUUUAGGAGACAAAUGAGUAACAGCAUAAAUUACAUGAUGAUGUAAAAACAAAGUGCUGGAUGGAGGUUUGCAAGCUCCAAAUGCUCCUUUGUAUGAAACAAGGGGCAAAGUAUCACCUUGUGUCCGUCUCCUCGUGUGUUGUGACCAUUUGCUCAUGAUUUAAUCAAUGAUCUGGAAAAAUGCCAAAGCUAUGUGAACCUUUUGGUAUUGCUAUGAUAAUGCAGUGGUCUGAGAAACAGAAUGUUAUCUGGGCUGGGCAGCUACUUCCCUUGCAUGUUUUGUUUUUACCUAUCACCUGAGUGCUUUGUUCUUCUUCGGAGGGACUGCACAUCAAAAUGUGUAUAAAACCACAAUGAUUAGUUUGCAAACUUGGACUUGAUGACUGCAGGGGCGAAGCAGUACCCUCUGUAGGCUCGUCUGCAAUAAAGACUACUGCUAAAAGAUAUCCAAGUCUCCUUCACUGAAAAAGGUUUACAACAGGAGCCAGGAACGACCAACACAAGUUGUUGAUAUAUUGUAAAAAGGGCGAGUGUAUGUACACUGAUCAGGCAUAACUUUAUAACCACUGAGAGUAAAGAACACUGAUUAUCUCUUCAUCAUUGCAUCUGUUAGUGGGUAGGAUAUAUUAGGCAGAAAGUGAACUUUUCUUCUCACUGAUGUGUUAGAAGCAGGAAAAAUGGGCAAGCGUAAAUAUUAAAAGCGAGUUUGAGAAGGGCCAAAUUGUGAUGGCUAGACAAGUGGCUCAGAGCAUCUUCAAAGCUUCAGUUCUUGAGGUCUGCAGUGAUCAAUAUCUAUCAAAAGUGGUCCAAUUAAUAAACAGUGGCCCUGUGGUCUGAUCCAACAGCUACUGUAGCUUAAAUUGCUGAAGUAGUUGAUGCUUUUAAUGCUUGACAGUUUAGGACGGUUUUGGCAGCAAAAGGGGGACCAACACAAUAUUAGCCAGGUGGUCAUAAUGUUAUGUCUGUUUGGUGUAUAUAGCUGUACAACAGGGUGACUUCAGGGUGGGCCAAAGCCAAAAUAAUACAGAAAGGAUUUCUAAUAAUUUUGAAGCUUCCUUACCUUUUUUACAGUUUAUCUUCCCUAACUCCCUAACACAUAAACCAGAGAGGAAAGGAACAGACCCAAAAGAAAUGGCAGCUACAGAUAGUGAACCAUGUAAUGCAAUGUGUACAGGAUUUAUAUAUACAUUAGAGAAUAUACCAAGCUCAAAGUAAACAAAAAAAAAAAAAACAGGACAGGAUAAUCACAAGUGUACAAUCACUUCUACCCCCCCACCCCUUCACAUUGUCUCCUCUUCCUCUUUAAAUAUUGUUUGUUGGUUAUUGAUGUCAUCAUCAGGAGGCAGGAUCCAGGUAAGAUAGGGCAGGCCGAAAACGCUGAUAUGGAGCCGAACCGGCACACAAAACAUGACACAAAACACACAUGACAUAGCUGACACUAGGGAUGUUCAUCUCUAUAACUGAGGCUUAUGCAUAGCCAAUGAUACAAUACAUUAAAUAUACACAUGAAGCAGCUACUGACGCAAAGCGGUAUCAUUCAAUCCUAUUACGAUGCAGUGUGAUCCAGUUUCAAUUUGAUUCAACACAAUGCAAUACGAUGUAAUUGUAAAAUACAAUAAUAUGCAAUUCAAUAUGGCACAAAUAGUUCGCUUUUAUUCAGUGGUUCAGGCAGACAUCAACUCAUAAAUUGAUUCAUUGAUCCUAUUCUGUAUGCAUAUUAACAGAUUCAUGCUAUUUCACACCACUAAUAGCAGCUGCUUUAAAAAGUAUAUAUUUUCUGUGUGCAGUUAGGUUUAUAGCAGAAAAAUGCUUUAAAUACAUUGUUUCAUGCUUAUGCUUACAGAAGCUCCACAAGCAUUGAAUACAUUUGUAAGAAUACAAACAUUUCUUAAUUUUUUAGAUCAGCAAGCAUUACCAAACCACAACACUUUUUGUUUUUUUGUGUGGGACUUAAAGCUUUUUUUUUUUUUUUUUGUGAUACCAAUGUUGGAUGCUUACUUAUUUUAUGCUAUGUGUCAUUCAUAUUACAUUUAACGUAUUAUCUAGAAACAGCUUAGACACCAUAUGUAAGAGGGCAGAUGCCUCCCCUGGUAUUGUUUUUGAUAGCUUAGCUUAGUGCAGUCAGCUAGACCUUUCGUCAGGUUCUUCCUCUUUAUAAUUGACAGGCAACUACUCUUAUAGUAGGAGAGAAAAGAGCCAGAGACAGGAGAGCAAAACACAAGGGGUGGGGAAGAGAGAGAUAGGGGGGUGGGGGAUUAAGGAGAGGGAAAGAGAACCACACAAAAGAACACUGACACAUGACAUGGGUACUUUCCUAAAGACUGAAGAGGUUGUGCAAGAUAAAUACACUCAGACUAUUUUUCUUGUUAGCUAUGCAUUUCCUAUACCCAUGUUCUUGCAGAUCAGAAGAGCUUAAUUGUGUAAUCUUCUCUCUCUCUCUCUCUCUCUCUCUCUCUCUCUCUCUCUCUCUCUCUCUCUCUCUCUCUCUCUCUCUCUCUCUCU